rnacentral:rRNA from 1 species
AGUGAACGCUGGCGGUAGGCCUAACACAUGCAAGUCGAACGGCAGCACAGUAAGAGCUUGCUCUUACGGGUGGCGAGUGGCGUACGGGUGAGGAAUACAUCGGGAUCUACUUUUUCGUGGGGGAUAACGUAGGGAAACUUACGCUAAUACCGCAUACGACCUACGGGUGAAAGCAGGGGAACUUCGGACAUUGCGAGAUUGAAUGACCCGAUGCCGGAUUAGCUAGUUGGCGGGGUAAAGGCCCACCAAGGCGACGAUCCGUAGCUGGUCUGAGAGGGAGAUCAGCCACACUGGAACUGAGACACGAUCCAGACUCCUACGCUAGGCAGCAGUGGGGAAUAUUGGACAAUGGGCGCAAGCCUGAUCCAGCCAUACCGCGUGAGUGAAGAAGGCCUUCGGCUUGUAAAGCCCUUUUGUUGGGAAAGAAAAGCAGCAGGUUAAUACCCCGCUGUUCUGACGGUACCCAAAGAAUAAGCACCGGCUAACUUCGUG